rnacentral:ncRNA from 2 species
UUUAGUAGAAGAGGUCGCAAUUGACAACAGCUAGUUAGCUCGCUAUCACAAUAGUAUUAGUUAAAAUUAGUGAGGGGAUAUUGCCGAAACGUCAAAGAGUUGUGACGAUUUGAUGUUGGGGUGUGGUUGAACAAAUCACAAACUGUCAUAAGCACAUAACUUAUGGAGAGCUAUCGACAAA